rnacentral:rRNA from 1 species
GAUCAUGGCUCAGGAUGAACGCUAGCGGCAGGCUUAACACAUGCAAGUCGAGGGGCAGCGCGGGGCGGCAACGUCCUGGCGGCGACCGGCGGAAGGGUGCGUAACGCGUGAGCGACAUGCCCGUUGCCCGGGGACAACCGGUGGAAACGCCGACUAAUCCCCGAUGGGACGGAGGCCCUCAUGGGUCGUCUGUUGAAGUUACGGCGGCGACGGAGUGGCUCGCGUCCGAUUAGCUAGUUGGCGGGGUAACGGGCCC